UUCACAUAAAAUAGAAAUAAGUUUUAAAAAAGAUACAGGGAAAAUUAGCCUGGCCCCUGCACAAGGAUGACAAAUUCGUGGAGCAUUUGAUAGUCUU
ensembl:snRNA U6 U6 spliceosomal RNA